rnacentral:rRNA from 2 species
GGCAGACGGGUGAGUAACACGUGGACUACCUGCCUGUAAAACUGGGAUAACUACGGGAAACCGGGGCUAAUACCGUACUAUAUCUAUUUAUACAUUUUAUUACAUUGAAAGAUGGAUCUGCUAUCACUUACAGAUGGGCCCGCGGCGCAUUACCUAGUUGGUGAGGUAACGGCUCACCGAGGCGACGAUGCGUAGCCGACCUGAUAGGGUGAUCGGCCACACUGGGACUGACACACGGCCCAGACUCCUACGGGAGGCAGCCAUAGGGAAUCUUCCGCGAUGGACGAAAGUCUGACGGAGCAACGCCGCGUGAGUGAUGAAGGUUUUCGGAUCGUGAAACUCUGUUGUUAAUGAAGAAGAUACACCGGGAUAACUGCCGGUAUCCUGACGGUUCUAACCCAUAAAGUCACGGUAAACUACGUGCCAGCAAUCGCGUUAAUACGUAUAGUGGAAGCGUUGUCCGGAUUUAUUGGGCGUAAUCUGCGAGGCGGCGGUUCUUUAAGUCUGAUUUGAAACCCGUCACCUCAACCGUGGGAGGUAUUUGGAAACUGGGAAUCUUGAGCGCAGAAGAGGAAAUUGGAAUUCCAAGUGUAGCGGUGAAAUGCGUAGAGAUUUGGAGGAACACCAGUGGCGAAGGCGACUUUUUGGUCUGUAACUGA